rnacentral:rRNA from 1 species
AAGAACUAAAGGGCAAGCAGUCAGAUCUCUGAAAUUAAUUCUAGAAAAUAGAAAUCCAACGAACAUAAACAUCAUGGAAGAAUGAAUCCCUCACCGUACCGGCGCGUAAGAACACCUGGCGCACGCGGGCGUCGGGCUGCGUCUUCGCGAACAAGUUCGUGCCGCAGGUCUGUAACUCAGCUGCGAACCCGUCGGCAUCCGGCAUGGAGAAGUCCAGGUGGUGCCUCAGAUGCACGGACGGGGCGCCCGCGGCCAUCGGGGAGGAGAAGACCGUGGCGACGGCGGGGGUGCCUGGAGGCGGAGCUUGGAAGAUGGAAUGCAAGGGGGAGGAAGCAGGGAGCAGCUGUAGUGGGCGUAGCCGUCCCGCAAGCACCGGAUCUGGAUCGCCGCCGCCGUCGACGAGCAACAGGGAGAUGCGGGCUAGUCGGGGUCGCG